AGUUGAGCGGAGAUUAUGGAGCUUGCUUUAUAUAACUUAGCAGCGAACGGGUGAGUAACACGUAGAUAAUCUAUCCUAUACUGGGGGAUAGCCCGAUGAAAGUUGGAUUAAUACCGCAUAUAGCUAUAUAGUUGCAUGAUUAUGUAGUGAAAGAUUUAUUGGUAUAGGAGGAGUCUGCGGCACAUUAGCUAGUAGGUGAGGUAAAGGCUUACCUAGGCGACGAUGUGUAGCCGGUCUGAGAGGAUGAACGGCCACAAUGGAACUGAGACACGGUCCAUACUCCUACGGGAGGCAGCAGUGGGGAAUAUUGCACAAUGGGGGAAACCCUGAUGCAGCAACGCCGCGUGAGUGAAGAAGGUUUUCGGAUUGUAAAGCUCUGUUAGCAGGGAAGAGGAAGGACGGUACCUGCAGAGGAAGCCACGGCUAACUACGUGCCAGCAGCCGCGGUAAUACGUAGGUGGCAAGCGUUGUUCGGAAUAACUGGGCGUAAAGGAUGCGUAGGCGGUUAAACAAGUUAUAUGUUAAAUAUAUAGGCUUAACCUGUAGAAAGCAUAUAAAACCGUUUAACUAGAGUGCAGGAGAGGUAAGUGGAAUUCCUAGUGUAGCGGUGAAAUGCGUAGAGAUUAGGAAGAACACCAGUGGCGAAGGCGACUUACUGGACUGUAACUGACGCUGAGGCAUGAGAGCAUGGGGAGCAAACAGGAUUAGAUACCCUGGUAGUCCAUGCUGUAAACGAUGGGUACUAGGUGUGGGUUGUGAAUAACAAUUCGUGCCGUCGCAAACGCAAUAAGUACCCCGCC
rnacentral:rRNA from 1 species